AGAUUACAGUGUUUGCACUGUAUGCAGGUAACUUGAUAGCUAGAUACACGGUGGUACUGAAGGAGGGGACAAAAGAACCCUAUGUUUUACUUACCUGGGCGGGAAAAGAAAGGAAGGAAAUUUUGACAAAAAAAACUAAAAGAAAAACAACAACUGUUGACCAAAUUAUCAAAGGAGCAUUCGCAUACGGAGCUGACAAAACCAUACUAGUAGCAGACAAUCAACUGAGUUAUUUUGAGUUAUCAUGGAAGUUCAAUAAGGCAGGGACCCCUAAUUUAAAAGAGAUCACAGAGAAUACUGACAUGAACAGUUUAAUCGGACGAAAGCUUAAUAGAGAAGCCUUUAACGCUGCAAUGACAUUGAAUAAGAGAGAUACAGAGGAGAUUUACAUGUUUGAAGCCAGGAACGUGUGGCAGGAGAAACCCUUCACAACGCCAGAAGGUGGUAACCGAAGAUGGAAGGAAGUUCCAAACUGGUUCAAGAUUGCUGGCUGGUGUCGUCGCAGAAACACAUGAUCCCAGUUGUAAUGAAACUCUGAACAAUUUUAAUUUAGCUCGAAGCUAAUGUACUAAUGUAUAAUGUACUAAUGUACAAUACAAUGACAUUAGGGUUAA